rnacentral:lncRNA from 1 species
AUAGGCCUUAUUUGAACAAUUUUUUAUCAGGUUUUUGAUUGUACCAAGUCUACUAAUAAGUAGAAUACAUAGUUUAGUAGUGGAACGAUGGCUUGAAGACGAAAUAAAUCUUUGUUUGUAAUGAGUUAUGUGCAGCUUCGGCCUUGGACCCAAUACAUGGUGGAAACUUUCAUUGUACAAUGUAUUUGGUUCUGCUAUGAAAAGAGCUGAGUCUAUGUACCAUAUAAUAUAAAAGGUUAACUGGUUGCAAGGACCUAGUCCUUAAUUGAGAUCCUUGUCAGAUAUUCCUGGCCAUAUGUUUUCCUU